rnacentral:rRNA from 1 species
GGAAUCUUGUGCAAUGGACGAAAGUCUGACACAGCCACGCCGCGUGCGGGAAGAAGGCCUUCGGGUUGUAAACCGCUUUCAGCAGGGACGAAAAUGACGGUACCUGCAGAAGAAGGAGCGGCCAACUACGUGCCAGCAGCCGCGGUGACACGUAGGCUCCAAGCGUUGUCCGGAUUUAUUGGGCGUAAAGAGCUCGUAGGCGGUUCAGCAAGUCGGGUGUGAAAACUCUGGGCUCAACCCAGAGCCUGCACCCGAAACUGCUGUGACUAGAGUUCGGUAGGGGAGUGGGGAAUUCCUAGUGUAGCGGUGAAAUGCGCAGAUAUUAGGAGGAACACCGAUGGCGAAGGCACCACUCUGGGCCGAAACUGACGCUGAGGAGCGAAAGCGUGGGUAGCAAACAGGAUUAGAUACCCUGGUAGUCCACGCCGUAAACGAU